rnacentral:tRNA from 1 species
CGACAAUAGUUGGAAUUGAACCAACAAGAGUUUUACCUCGCCAGUUUUCGAAACUGGUGCAAUACCAUUAUGCGAUAUUGUC